rnacentral:rRNA from 1 species
CCCCAGGAGGUGAGAACCUGCGGCUUAUUUGACUCAACACGGGGUAAACUCACCAGGUCCAGACACAGUGAGGAUUGACAGAUUGAGAGCUCUUUCUUGAUUCUGUGGGUGGUGGUGCAUGGCCGUUCUUAGUUGGUGGAGUGAUUUGUCUGCUUAAUUGCGAUAACGAACGAGACCUUAACCUGCUAAAUAGCCCGUACUGCUCUGGCAGUUCGCCGGCUUCUUAGAGGGACUAUCGGCUCAAGCCGAUGGAAGUUUGAGGCAAUAACAGGUCUGUGAUGCCCUUAGAUGUCCUGGGCCGCACGCGCGUUACACUGACAGAGCCAGCGAGUACCUCCUUGGCCGGAAGGCCCGGGUAAUCUUGUUAAACUCUGUCGUGCUGGGGAUAGAGCAUUGCAAUUAUUGCUCUUCAACGAGGAAUCCCUAGUAAGCGCAAGUCAUCAGCUUGCGUUGAUUACGUCCCUGCCCUUUGUA